rnacentral:rRNA from 2 species
CAUGUAGGCGGGCUUUUAAGUCCGGCGUGAAAAUGCGGGGCUCAACCCCGUAUGGCGUUGGAAACUGGAAGUCUUGAGUGCAGGAGAGGAAAGGGGAAUUCCCAGUGUAGCGGUGAAAUGCGUAGAUAUUGGGAGGAACACCAGUGGCGAAGGCGCCUUUCUGGACUGUGUCUGACGCUCAGAUGCGAAAGCCAGGGUAGCAAACG